UCUGUGGUACUCUAUUUGGAUAUGCCCUACAAUUCUAUAGUCAUGUGAUCCACAAUGUCCAUACGGGUGGAUUUGGGUAAAAUGCUGCUCAUGUUGAGAUCUGAUUUCGUGAAAUAACACUCAUACAAAUAAUUUAAAGAGUCAGAUAAGAAGAAUUGAAUGAAUCUGCGCAGCGCCCAGGGCGACGCACGUGAACAAGCAAAAAAGCUGCUGCUGGCCACCACCACCGCACGAAUCACGACACCGGGUUGUAUGAUGACUUUCUAACUACUAGCCACUACUACGAAUCCGAUGUUAGCUAGCCUAUUAUCUUUAUUUCUUGGUUCGUUAAAGUUGUUAUGCAAGCAAUGUAAUACAUCGUGCGUUUAGUUUACUAAAUUGAGCAGCUCCAGCUAGCUAGCUGUCGCAUACCAAUCUGACAGCACAGCUUAUUGGCUGGCGCAGCUCAAGUUAUUUUUACAUUUGGCUUAAUAAUUGCAAGUGUUUUAGAAGAGUAUCACUUGCGGAUAACCACAUUGCUAGCUCUAAAUUAUGUGUCCAAUUUACCAUGAUUAGAAAAGUAGUUACAAUGAACACUCACCGAAUGUUUUUGCUCCUCUGUCACUGUGAAGCAAACCAGGAAGAAAACAAAAUAGCACUUUGAUUGACAAGCCAACCCACGAAUGCAAGCAAUGAGUAACGGAUGGACGCAGCCAAUGACACGUCUCUGGAACAAACAGAGGGUGAAUAAUAGCUAUGCCCCUGAUGUGUCGUUGGGGCUUUGAGUGAUAAUCAUCUAGGGGUGAGUUGUGGUUGCAGCAGCCUUCAGGAAUCCUUUUUCCAGGAAUGGAAACACCGGAGAACCUUCACCAGAGAACAUGUGGGUGAACAUGGGGUCAAACAGAAACAGGCUUAAUCAUUCUGGGAAAGAAAGAGCGGUGAGCUGAAGCUGAGCAAACCAGGUCAAGAGAUGAAUCAAAAUACUGUCAUAAUGCACCUUUGCUAUUCUCAAUCAUCCUCAAGAGGCAGAUACAGUGACAGUUUUCCUUGUUGACGGAGCGCUCGUCUUUCCAGGAACAUUCCCAGAAAGAGGGGUCACGUGUGGAUGAUAUGGUCUCAGUUCCACCAAUCCAUGGCCCAAACGAUGAAGUCACCCACAGCCAAAGAGGGAGCGGAAAGCGGUCUAAGGCCCACUGAAAGGCCGGUGGUGGCUGGUCCCCUGCAAGAAGGUGAGGUGCCUGAGGUCCCUCCGCCCCCUCUGGACAUCGAGGGGUCCCCGGCGUACACAGUUCGAGGCAUUCUGGAUUCGAGACGCCGGGUGGGGGGCCUACAGUACCUCGUGGGCUGGGAGGGGUACGGUCCGGAGGAGAGAUGCUGGGUUCCGGUGGGGGACAUUUUGGACCCUUCUCUCCUGAUAGAUUUCCACCGCCUCCACCCUUGAUCGCCCAGCACCUUGUCCUCCGGGUCGUCCUCGAGGACGGUGGCGGCGCGCUGCGGGAGCCGCGCAUCGGGGGGGGGGGGGGUACUGUCACGACUUCCGCCGAGGUUGGCUCUCCUGCCUGUUCAGGCGGUGCUCGGCGGUCGUCGUCACCGUCCUACUAGCCACUACCGAUCCCUUUUCGUGUAUCUGUUGGUUUUGUCUGAUUGGUUUCACCUGUGUGUUGUUUAGUUAAUUAGUGUCUAUAUAUGUAGUAGGUUGUCCCGCCCUUGUUUUGUGCGGGAUUGUUAUUUGUGUAUUCAUGUCAGUCGGUGUAUCUUGUGUUGUUAUUCUCCGGUCUGUCUUUAUCCUGUGUUGGAUUGUUCACCCUGUGUGUGUUGGGUUGACUGUGUUUCUUGUUCGCCGGAGAAUAAACUGUCAUAUCACUA